rnacentral:rRNA from 1 species
CCUACGGGAGGCAGCAGUGGGGAAUCUUGCGCAAUGGGCGAAAGCCUGACGCAGCAACGCCGCGUGAGGGACGAAGGUUUUCUGAAUUGUAAACCUCUUUCAGCAGGGAAGAUAAUGACGGUACCUGCAGAAGAAGCACCGGCUAACUACGUGCCAGCAGCCGCGGUGAUACGUAGGGUGCAAGCGUUGUCCGGAUUUAUUGGGCGUAAAGAGCUCGUAGGCGGUUUGGUAAGUCGGUUGUGAAAUCCCCAGGCUCAACCUGGGGCCUGCAUUCGAUACUGCCAUGACUAGAGUUUGGUAGGGGACCACGGAAUUCCUGGUGUAGCGGUGGAAUGCGCAGAUAUCAGGAGGAACACCAGUAGCGAAGGCGGUGGUCUGGGCCAAUACUGACGCUGAGGAGCGAAAGCGUGGGGAGCAAACAGGAUUAGAUACCCUGGUAGUCCACGCCGUAAACGGUGGGCACUAGGUGUGGGGACUAUUCAACGGUUUCCGCGCCGACGCUAACGCAUUAAGUGCCCCGCCUGGGGAGUACGGCCGCAAGGCUAAAACUCAAAUGAAUUGACGG